CCCUUAGAUGUCCUGGGCCGCACGCGCGCUACACUGAGUGUCUGAGAUACGAGUCUGCCUGGUCCGGCAAGGUCUAGGUAAUCGCUAAAAGACACAUCAUGCUUGGGAUAGAUUAUUGCAAAUAUUAAUCUUGAACGAGGAAUUCCUAGUAAGCGCAAGUCAACAGCUUGCGUUGAUUACGUCCCUGCCCUUUGUACACACCGCCCGUCGCUACUACUGAUUGGAUGUUUAAGCGAGGUUCUCGAACUGCUAGCGACUUAGCUUCGGUGAGGUCGCAGUGUGGGGAGUGAACCUAGCUUUGGUGUCUAGAGGAAGUAAAAGUCGUAACA
rnacentral:rRNA from 1 species